rnacentral:lncRNA from 1 species
GCGCACACUCACAGAGAGGCACAGAAGCAGUUAACUGUUGCGGUUUUGUUUCGGGGUCGCAUAAGAAGAACACGUUUGGGAAUUUUUUCCUUUGUAUAAUUAGCCACACAUUUGAUCUUCGGGGUCAUUUUGAGAACGGAGCAGGAACAGCGGAAGGAGGGGCACGAGACCUGCCAUCCAUUUUCCAAGGGAAGAAAGACUGAAAGCGAUUUGCCCAAAGCUGAAGUUAGAAGCGAGCUUCCAGGCAGGAAUCCCAAGUACAGAAAUCCAAGAUCCCAUAACUUCAGCGGGGUGAAGUAGGGGGUCAUCUCAUCAGUCCCCAUAAGCCCACUCUUUCACCCCGAGACCACUGAAAGAUCCAGUAACCUCUGUACACUCAGAAUCCCAGGGCAACUCCACACCGCACUCCCUGAUGAAACUAGGUUUCAACUCACAGUCUCUGCACUUUUUGCGCGCCACUUUUUGCUGCACUCCCGAGUCCAUCUUGUUACCAUCUGUUGCCACAGCAACCGCAGAGUGUGGCUCACACUCUAGUAAGAGGAACGAUGAUUGGAGGAGGCGGGCGUCCCUAGCAACCACGAGACCUUCGUUAGCUUCUUUCCGCCCUGUGGGCUCCAUCAACACAGACUGCAUUAUUUCCAUCCCUGCACUUAAAAUAGUAACUGGUCUGAGACGAACAUCGCAUAAAUACGUGUUGGCUGCAUGAAGUCCCACACCGCAGUACCCGGAAGCAGGGAGGACUGUGGGGAUGUGAGAGAGAGAGAGUUAAGACAGAAAAGCCUCUGUCUUCAGGGACUUUGGAUGCCUGUGGAAGAAAUGAAUUACAAACUGUACUGGCAAACCAACUAUGUGCAGAACUGGGUGGUUUAGUGUCUAAGUGUUAUGGGAAGUAAUUCUGCAACCCCCCCAAAGGUUCCUUUAUUCUUUCUAUUGCAUCUCAAUCCAUAGUCUUACAUAUAAAAUACCUACUGUAUAUCAACCACUGAUGAGGAGCCAUCAAGACAGACAUCAACUCUGUGGAACUUAUGCCCUGUGAACAGUGUGCCCAGCCCAGCUGACACUGGUGGCCAUCUAUGGCUUCCUAUGGCCACUGAGUUCUUGACUUGUGUCUGCCCCUAACUAGAAGGUGGGCUAGAUGUGAACUUGGGUCAUAGAGACUUGGAGGAAAAGAAGAGUGAAAAAAAAUACCUCUUUGCUAAUUUAAAAAUAUUGAUUUCACAUUGAAAUGAUGAGGUUUUAGAUAUGCUGGAUUGGACAUUCUAUUAUUAAAACCAGUAAUCAAUUUUCU